UACGAAGGGGGGCUAGCGUUGCUCGGAAUUACUGGGCGUAAAGCGCACGUAGGCGGCUUUCUAAGUCGGGGGUGAAAUCCUGGAGCUCAACUCCAGAACUGCCUUCGAUACUGGAGAGCUCGAGUCCGGGGAGAGGUGAGUGGAACUGCGAGUGUAGAGGUGAAAUUCGUAGAUAUUCGCAAGAACACCAGUGGCGAAGGCGGCUCACUGGCCCGGUACUGACGCUGAGGUGCGAAAGCGUGGGGAGCAAACAGG
rnacentral:rRNA from 1 species